GACGAACGCUGGCGGCGUGCUUAACACAUGCAAGUCGAACGGAAAGGCCUCUUUCGGGGGGUACUCGAGUGGCGAACGGGUGAGUAACACGUGAGUAACCUGCCCUUGACUUUGGGAUAACUUCAGGAAACUGGGGCUAAUACCGGAUAGGAGCUCCUGCUGCAUGGUGGGGGUUGGAAAGUUUCGGCGGUUGGGGAUGGAUUCGCGGCUUAUCAGCUUGUUGGUGGGGUAGUGGCUUACCAAGGCGUUGACGGGUAGCCGGCCUGAGAGGGUGAUCGGCCACAGUGGGACUGAGAGACGGCCCAGACUCCGACGGGAGGCAGCAGUGGGGAAUAUUGCACAAGGGGUGGAAGCCUGAUGCAGCAACGCCGGGGGCGGGAAGACGGCCUUCGGGUUGUAAACCGCUUUCGCUCAUGACGAAGCUUUGUGUGACGGUAGUGGGUAAAGAAGCACCGGCUAACUACGUG
rnacentral:rRNA from 1 species